rnacentral:rRNA from 1 species
GCAGCCGCGGUAAUACGGGGGAUGCAAGCGUUAUCCGGAUUUAUUGGGUUUAAAGGGUGCGUAGGCGGUCUGGUAAGUCAGCGGUGAAAUUUCCGAGCUCAACUUGGAACGUGCCGUUGAUACUGUCGGACUAGAAUGCGGAUGCCGUGGGAGGAAUGUGUGGUGUAGCGGUGAAAUGCAUAGAUAUCACACAGAACACCGAUUGCGAAGGCAUCUCACGAAUCCGCAAUUGACGCUGAGGCACGAAAGCGUGGGGAUCAAACAGGAUUAGAUACCCC